rnacentral:rRNA from 1 species
GAUGAACGCUGGCGGCGGGCUUAACACAUGCAAGUCGAACGAUUAAGCCCAGCUUGCUGGUGGGUUUAGUGGCGAACGGGUGAGUAACGCGUGAGUAACCUGCCCUUGGCGCUGGGAUAAGCCUGGGAAACGGGGUCUAAUACUGGAUAUUACUUCUCGUCGCAGGGGGGGGGGUUGAAAGAUUUCUUGGUCUUGGAUGGACUCGCGGCCUAUCAGCUUUUUUGGGAUGUAGUGGCUAACCAAGGCGACGACGGGUAGCCCGCAUGAGGGCGUGACCGGCCACCCUGGGACUGCGACACGCAGCAGAGUCGAACGGGAGGCAGCAGUCGGGAACAUUGCACAAUGAGGGCAAGCCUGAUGAAGCGAUCCCGCGUGAGGGAUGAAGGCUUACGGGUUGUAAACCUCUGUCAGUAGGGAAGAAGCGGGAGUGACGGUACCUGCAGAAGAAGCGCCGGCUAACUACGUG